rnacentral:rRNA from 1 species
UACGAAGGGGGCUAGCGUUGCUCGGAAUUACUGGGCGUAAAGGGCGCGUAGGCGGACAGUUUAGUCAGAGGUGAAAGCCCAGGGCUCAACCUUGGAAUUGCCUUUGAUACUGGCUGUCUUGAGUUCGGGAGAGGUGAGUGGAACUCCGAGUGUAGAGGUGAAAUUCGUAGAUAUUCGGAAGAACACCAGUGGCGAAGGCGGCUCACUGGCCCGGUACUGACGCUGAUGUGCGAAAGCGUGGGGAGCAAACAGG